UUACUAUUUUCAUGUUACAGUUGUGGAGACUGAGGGACAGAGCUGUUAUGUAACUGGUCUAAGGUCACAUAUGCAAUGUUGUUCUCACAGAGUGUGCCUUCUAGUUUUUUUAUUUUUUCAAAAACUGUCUUAACUACUUGUGGUCUUUACUAUACCUUAAAAAGACGUUUAGAACCAUUUUGUUAAUUUUUUUCAGAAAAUUCUGCUAGAAAUUUGGUUGGAAUAGAAUUGAGCUUAUGGGAAGAACUUUCAUCAUGAUAACGUUAAAUUGGGCCAUCUGUGAACAUGGCUGAACCAGUUACACUUUUCCAUUUACUCAAGUCUUCUCUUAUGUCCUAUAAUAUAGUAAAUUAAUCUUUCAUGGUGAACAUUUUUUUGUUAGGCUAAAUCAAGGUUGGCAAAAUGCUCUGGUCUGUAGUCUCUUUGUAUGGCCUGUGAGCUAAGAACAAAUUUUUACAUUUUUUUAUGUGUGGUGAUAAAAAAAUACAAAACCAUCAAAGAUUAUGUGACAGAGUGUAUAUAUUUGAUAUCCAGCCUUUUACAGAAAAAGUUUCCUGAACCUUGGGUUAUAUCUUAGAUAUUUAUAGUUAUUUUUCUCUAGUAUUUAGUAUCUUAUUAGUGUAACUUCAGUGUUCAAUACAGAAGUCACAACCACAUGUGGUUAACUAAAUUUAGAUAAUUAAAAUGAGAAACAAUUAGAACUUCAGUUCCUUGGUCAUACUAGCAACACUUCAAGUGCCCAACAACUACAUGUGGCUACUGGCUACUACACUGGACAG